GUGGGAACUGGGGGAACAUGUAGGCGAAGGCCAGACCAUGAGUCUCUAAAAGCAGUCUGCUGACAGUUUUAGCAUCUUGCCUUUGAACGGAAGUUUUGAGGACAUCUCUCCUCACCCCUGACCUGUGAGGGGCUAUGAGGGAACGUAAGAGAGAGGAGGUGAAUCCAGCAUUUCUCUGGCCCACUGUCUGCACACCUCAGUAACCAAGUGUGAGCCAUGAAGAGCCACAUGACGAGCCACAGGAGGCAGGUGGAGGCCCGCUUUAACAUGAAGGGGAGUGCUGAUGGGAAACAGAGGUCUGGCUCAUUCCCCUGCUACAACUUCUCCCCCAUUAGGGCCCUGACACAGCUGAGAACACUGCAGGAAUACCUUGGAGAUAUUCCAGACCACCAUGAUAAAGUGAACAUCAAAAUAAAGAGACUCAAAUGAA